AUGAACGCUGGCCGCGUGCCUAAUACAUGCAAGUCGAGCGAACGGACGAGAAGCUUGCUUCUCUGAUGUUAGCGGCGGACGGGUGAGUAACACGUGGAUAACCUACCUAUAAGACUGGGAUAACUUCGGGAAACCGUAGCUAAUACCGGAUAAUAUUUUGAACCGCAUGGUUCAAAAGUGAAAGACGGUCUUGCUGUCACUUAUAGAUGGAUCCGCGCUGCAUUAGCUAGUUGGUAAGGUAACGGCUUACCAAGGCAACGAUGCAUAGCCGACCUGAGAGGGUGAUCGGCCACACGGGAACUGAGACACGGUCCAGACUCCUACGGGAGGCAGCAGUAGGGAAUCUUCCGCAAUGGGCGAAAGCCUGACGGAGCAACGCCGCGUGAGUGAUGAAGGUCUUCGGAUCGUAAAACUCUGUUAUUAGGGAAGAACAUAUGUGUAAGUAACUGUGCACAUCUUGACGGUACCUAAUCAGAAAGCCACGGCUAACUACGUG
rnacentral:rRNA from 1 species